rnacentral:rRNA from 1 species
GCCUACGGGACGCAGCAGUGGGGAAUAUUGCACAAUGGGGGAAACCCUGAUGCAGCGACGCCGCGUGAGUGAAGAAGUAUUUCGGUACGUAAAUCUCUAUCAGCAGGGAAGAAAAAAAGUCCUUUGGACUUUGGACGGUACCUGACCAAGAAGCCCCGGCUAACUACGUGCCAGCAGCCGCGGUAAUACGUAGGGGGCAAGCGUUAUCCGGAUUUAUUGGGUUUAAAGGGUGCGUAGGCGGUCCGUUAAGUCAGCGGUAAAAUUGCGGGGCUCAACCCCGUCGAGCCGUUGAAACUGGCAGACUU